UCCUCUCACUUUCCAACCAUGUAAAAAACUGGUCAAUUCUUGACCAAAAAAGAAGCCCCCUCAAUUCGUGCCUCUCAGAACGGAACCAGCAUCGUGAUCUCUCCGCCGCCGUUGAGACCUCUCUCUCCUCCAUCGAGAUUCAGAUUGGAUAUCCAUCGAAGAAAACUCAAUCCUUAUGCCUUCAGUACACCACUGUUGGAUCUACGUACCUCUCAAUUUGUAGAUCGACAAUGGAUCUGAUGAAGAUUUAUGAUAUGAUAUUUGUUGUAGUGAGAGUGAGAAGAAUUGAUUCAUCAACCUUGCAAUUGCUGUAGUGUUUGGAGAAUGCACGUAAUCUGUUUGAUGAAAUGCAUGUGAGGAAUUUGUUUACUUGAUCUCCUAUGACUGGUGCUUGUUCAGAUUCUACUCUUUCUAGGACACACUUCACAACCUCAUUGGCAGCAAUGAGUCUAUAGAUGAUGUUGAAGCUAUAGAAAAUGGAAGCAGCAAGGUUGAUAAAGAAAAUACUGUCCAAAAGAAUGAAAUUCUCUUCAGGAUUAUAUGCUCUUUAUCCAGUCCAAAAGAAAAUACCGUAUGUUGAAGUUAUAUGGAUUUGCUGGAUCUUCUUCCCAUCCACACCACACCCCAAGAAGAAUCAAAUCAGUUCACUAACGAAGAUGGCGACAAUGAAUUUGAUGAAGACAUUAAUGAAGAUGACGACAUCAAUACUUUUGUUUAUACUCUUGUAGUACAUAACAAACUUUGUUUAGGAUGUGUUUCUUGAAUUAUAGUACUCAAAAUACUCCUGUGAAUAUAUUUAUGUUUAAUAUUGAUUCAAAUUUAUGUAUUAAA